GCUGAGGAGUGAUGACCGUGAAAGGCCGAAUUGCAGCGUCUCCCUCGCAGCUGCUCUCCGGGGCACGCGAUGACAAGACCUCCUGAAGCGAACCGCUGUCUGACCUCAGC
rnacentral:snoRNA from 1 species